UUAGUAAAUAAAAAUGCCAUAUAUUAUAUAAGAGUAUAAUGUUAACCAUAUGAAUAAUAAGUUCAAUUAGCAAAUCUAUAUAAAUAAUAUCAAACUACAGAUUCGGUGUGCUUUGAUCAUGGGGAUCAACAGAAUCACUUAAAGGGCGGGAUGAUAACGCAAUUUGCCUCAUCAUACGCCUUAUCCUUUUACAUAGAGCGAAACUGCUCUUCACU
rnacentral:misc_RNA from 1 species